CCACUGUGGGAUUUGGAUGCCCAGGAAAGUUUGGUGGGGUCCUGGGGCUGGGUUUGCAAUCCCAGCUCUUCCUCCCAAGUCUCUUGACCCCCACGCACACCCCUGUGUCCCCUGCCCCAUUUCAGGUUUCCCCUUUGUCCUGGAUGCUCGGUGGAUUUAAAGAGAAGCUGCCUGUUUAUUUGGAGGACCUUCAAAAACACCUCUGCAGCACUCAGUCUGCUCACGUUGCCCAUCAGUGCUGUGCCCUGCUCAGGUGUCCAUCACUCUAGGUCCCACAGGGACCGCCAUUUGACAUCGUGGCCCCACAGCCACACUGCCACACAGCAGGGCCACCCAUCUUGGGGCAGCACCCAGACCUGGGGGGCAGUGCCACAUGGAGAGAACAGGGACAUUUGUGGGACAGUGGGGACAGGGAGGGCAGGGACGUGUGGGAACCACAGGAAUACAGGGGAUGCGGAUAGCGUGUAGGGGGACACAGGGGACAUGGGGGAGAUGAAACAUGAAGAUGUGCAAGGAUGUAGGGUACAUGGAAGACUCAGGGGAUGAGGGGCAUGUGGGGAGACACAGGGGACAUGGAAGGCAUGGGGGACAUGUGGAAUGUGGGGAGACACAGAGGACACAGUGGAUAUGGGAGGCAUGUGAGCACUGUGAGGGUCACAGAGCACGUGGGGGGACGUGGGAGACCUGAGGACACCAAGAAUGGGGACACAUUGAAGCCACGGGGACCUGGGAGGACCCAGGGACAGGUGAGUGACCCUGGGACAUGCAGGGAGACAUGGAGUGCACAUGAGACAUGAGGUGAUAUAAGGGGAUUCAGAGGACCUGGGGGUGCAGAGGGGGCAUGGGUGGCAAAGGAGGCACCCAGGGACAUGGGGAAACAACAGGAACCCGGGGACACAACAGGAACACGUUGGCUGGGGACACCAAGCAGGAUCUGGGAACCGGGAAUAAGUGUUAACUGGGAGCUUAGGACUGGGAUCUGAGAAGUGGGGACUGGAGCAAGGGAUCGGUUCUGGGUACUGUGGGGUAGGAACUGGGAGCAAGGGAUUAGGAAGGGUUGGUAACUGGGAUCUAGGAACUCAGAAUUGGGAGCUCAGAACAGAGAACACUAAGCUGGGAAUUAGGGAAUAUGAUUACAGUGCUGAGAACUGGGAAUUUGGUGCUGGGAGCUGGGAAAUGGGAAAUGGUGAAAGGGAACUGAGAAUGGGGAGCAGAGGGCUUUGAAAGAGGAGGUAGAAACGGCUGGGAAGUGUGAACUGUUAGCUAGCAAGUGUGAUUUGGGAGCUGGAAACUGGGAGCUCUUGGAGUUGGAAGCUGGGAACAUGGAGAGCUUGGAACUGGGAACUGACCUAAGGGCUGAGAAAGGGGAGCUGUUUGAUGGGAACUGGAAAAUGAGAUGGGAGCUAGGAACUUAAAACUGGCAAUUGGGAUCUCGGAACCACAGUGGUGAGGGAAGAAGAUACGGCAGUGGGAACCCCACGGAGCUGUGCUGCCGCUCCAAUUGCUCAGUGUGCGUUGGGAGGAGCUGCGGCCGCCAUGAGGCCUUCCCUCAGCCUCCUCGGCCCGGGGCCCAACACACCGCAGGGUCUCAGUGCUCCUCACAGCAGCGCCCUCGGUCCCUUCCCCAUUUUUAUAACCCUAUUUUUUUUGUGUGUGUGUUUCGGUACGUAGGCGGAUCAGUCGGACGGAGCUGGAGAUGGGCGCAGUGCGGGGCUCCCCCCGGGCGGUAGGCCCGGAGCAGGCCGCAGGCCCCACACUCGUCGCCACGGCAACGCAUAGCGCGCAGGCGCAGAGUCCCACGGUGGGCCGCACAGCAUCACGGGACAGCAAGUCCGCAGCGCUACAACCCCUCUCAUCCCGCCCACGGAGUAGGACUACAGCUCCCAUAAACCCUCUCGGCGGGAAGAGCACCCCUCCCCUUCCUCUACACCUCUCCCUCCCAUUGGCUCCGCCGCCAUGUCCGGCAGCAGUACGGCGGCGCCCGAUUGGUUGGAAGGCGAACGGGACGAGGCGGCGGCUAUGGCGGACGAGCGGGCGGUGUGAGGGCUCGGCCGCCAUUUUGUGUGUGUGGGGGCUCGCGCCAGGCCUCGCUGCCGCCGCCGCGAGGCUGGAUGUGAGCAGGAAUGGAGAGAAGCCACAGCGGGACUGAUCCUGAUGGUGUGAUGCGCAUAGAGGGGAGCUGUGCGGGGUUAGCAGUGC
rnacentral:lncRNA from 1 species